UACGUAGGGGGCGAGCGUUGUCCGGAUUUAUUGGGCGUAAAGAGCUCGUAGGCGGUUCGGUAAGUCGGAUGUGAAAUCUCCACGCUCAACGUGGAGGGGCCAUUCGAUACUGCCGUGACUAGAGUCCGGUAGGGGAGUGUGGAAUUCCCGGUGUAGCGGUGAAAUGCGCAGAGAUCGGGAGGAACACCCGUAGCGAAGGCGGCACUCUGGGCCGUGACUGACGCUGAGGAGCGAAAGCGUGGGGAGCGAACAGG
rnacentral:rRNA from 1 species